ACGCUCGACACCUACGGGAGCAGCAGUAGGGAAUCUUCCACAAUGGACGCAAGUCUGAUGGAGCAACGCCGCGUGAGUGAAGAAGGUCUUCGGAUCGUAAAACUCUGUUGUUAGAGAAGAACACGAGUGAGAGUAACUGUUCAUUCGAUGACGGUAUCUAACCAGCAAGUCACGGCUAACUACGUGGCAGCAGCCGCGGUAAUCUGAGCGGGCUGGCAAGGC
rnacentral:rRNA from 1 species